CACGGGCAUUCUGUUUGGUGUCUUUGUUCUCCUGGUUCUGCUGUUUGUUGCUUUGCUGGUGCUCACUCACGAUACCUUGUUCUCUCACGUGCUCCGUGACUGCUUUCAUCGUGAUUCAUGCUGGCCGUAAUAUGAUCUGAAGGAAUUACUUGAGGCCUGGGUUUAAGGUCAUUCCCCCAGAGAAGAUUUUAGUUUGCACCACCAUGGAUCUCAGAUACUAUCAACUCUGGUUCACUUGGAGUUCGCCUUUCUCUACAUCCUCACCAGCAUCUGUUAUUCCCUGCCCUUUUGAUAAAAGCCAUUUUAACGGAGGUA
rnacentral:lncRNA from 1 species